UACAGAGGGGGCAAGCGUUAUUCGGAAUUAUUGGGCGUAAAGGGCGCGUAGGCGGCUUUGCAAGUGGCGGGUGAAAUCCCUCGGCUUAACCGAGGAACUGCCUGUCAAACUGCAUGGCUUGAGACCAGGAGAGGUGAGUGGAAUUCCUGGUGUAGCGGUGAAAUGCGCAGAUAUCGGGAGGAACACCAAUGGCGAAGGCAGCUCGCUGGGACGUGACUGACGCUGAGACGCGAAAGCGUGGGGAGCAAACAGGG
rnacentral:rRNA from 1 species